rnacentral:rRNA from 1 species
UGGNNNANNNGAAUUUGCCAGANGUGUCUAGUCAUGCCGUAUUAAGGCGAAACCGCGAAUGGCUCAUUAAAUCAGUUAUGGUUCCUUGGAUCGUACCUUACUACUUGGAUAACUGUGGCAAUUCUAGAGCUAAUACAUGCAGCAAAGCUCCGACCUUCGGGAACGAGCGCUUUUAUUAGACCAAAACCAAUCGGGCCUCGUGUCCGUUCUUUGUGGUGACUCUGUAUAACUUUGGGCUGAUCGCACGGGCUCGUCCCGGCGACGUAUCUUUCAAGUGUCUGCCUUAUCAACUGUCGAUGGUAGGUUACGCGCCUACCAUGGUCGUAACGGGUGACGGGGAAUCAGGGUUCGAUUCCGGAGAGGGAGCCUGAGAAACGGCUACCACAUCCAAGGAAGGCAGCAGGCGCGCAAAUUACCCACUCCCAGAACGGGGAGGUAGUGACGAAAAAUAACAAUACGGGACUCUUUUGAGACCCCGUAAUUGGAAUGAGUACACUCUAAAUCCUUUAACGAGGAUCCAUUGGAGAGCAAGUCUGGUGCCAGCAGUCGCGGUAAUUCCAGCUCCAAUAGCGUAUAUUAAAGUUGUUGCGGUUAAAAAGCUCGUAGUUGGAUCUCAGCUCCGGCCGGACGGUCCGCCUACCGGUGGUUACUGUUCGCUGCCGAGCGUUCAGGCGGUUAUUCUUGAUGAUCUUCACCGGUUGUCUCGGGUGACCGCCAAGUUUACUUUGAAAAAAUUAGAGUGCUCAAAGCAGACGCGACGUCUGAAUAAUUGUGCAUGGGAAUAAUGGAAUAGGACCUCGGUUCUAUUUUGUUGGUUUUCGGAACACGAGGUAAUGAUUAAGAGGGACAGACGGGGGCAUUCGUAUUGCGACGCUAGAGGUGAAAUUCUUGGACCGUCGCAAGGACGAACUUACUGCGAANCNUUUUUGCCAAGAA